CAGGAUGAACGCUAGCUACAGGCUAACACAUGCAAGUCGAGGGGCAGCAUAACGAAAGCUUGCUUUGUUGAUGGCGACCGGCGCACGGGUGAGUAACGCGUAUCCAACCUUCCCUAUAGUAGAGGAUAGCCCGGCGAAAGUCGGAUUAAUACUCUAUGUUAUUCAACGAGGACAUCUGAAAUGAAUCAAAGGUUUACCGCUAUAGGAUGGGGAUGCGUCUGAUUAGGUUGUUGGCGGGGUAACGGCCCACCAAGCCCACGAUCAGUAGGGGUUCUGAGAGGAAGGUCCCCCACAUUGGAACUGAGACACGGUCCAAACUCCUACGGGAGGCAGCAGUGAGGAAUAUUGGUCAAUGGACGGAGGUCUGAACCAGCCAAGUAGCGUGCAGGAUGACGGCCCUAUGGGUUGUAAACUGCUUUUAUACAGGGAUAAAGUGAGCCACGUGUGGUUUUUUGUAGGUACUGUAUGAAUAAGGACCGGCUAAUUCCGUGCCAGCAGCGGC
rnacentral:rRNA from 1 species